rnacentral:sRNA from 1 species
CUGAACGUUGCUCCCUCUCAUAGGAUUGCCCCUUCCCCCGAGGACGAGGACGAGGACGAGGACGAGGACGAGAGACUCGCUGUUUCCCUGAGGAUGUGAGAGAAGAUCCGAGCAUUGAGAUCGCCGCAGCCCCACACUGUGAGUCAGAUCCAAGGAAGACCGGAAAUCCCAAAGGUCAGCAGGCUUGAUGGGACCUGGAAUCACCAUGGAGACACCUCUGGGAACAUGUAUGAAGGCACUUCCAGAAAGAGACACCAUGUAGGCUGAGGACCUAUAUCUGUGAACUGAUCUUAACUUGACCAGCCCUGCAGAGAAGGAACCAGCUUACAGGACAACGUGCUGGAGUCUAUUCUCGCCUUCUACCAUGUCGGUCCCAAGGAUUGAACUCUGGUCUUUGGGCUUGGCAAUAGGUGCCUUCACCAGCUGAGCUACCUCACUGGACAACAAGAUUUAACACAGACGUCUCCUCCACGAAGGCAGUUCUAGCAAAGCAUAUAAAAAGAUGUCAGUUGGAGUCAUCCUCUGUCCCUAAAGGGCUGAAGUCAGAACACAGGCAUGACUGUAGGAAUACCCACACCUCUCAGAAUGGACAAGUUAAACAAUAAAUGAAUACAAGUUCAGUCCCCUGUGCCAGAGAGGAUCCAGGCAACAGGAACUCACAGAGACUGGCUGUAGAUGCCCUCUGGAGGACUCACAGGCUGACUGUAGCCUUGCCAACAGUUUUCUGCUGUUCCCCACAAUACAGUCUUCCCAUGAACACCCAGGGCAGCUUUAUUUACAACCAGCAAAACUGGAAAAUCCAAGUGUCCUUCAGCAGAUUAAUUCAUGCAUACACAGUGGUUUGGUCCUAUAAUGGAAUACUAUUUAGCCAUGAAAAGGCUUGA